rnacentral:rRNA from 1 species
CAGUCGCCGCGGUAAUACAGAGGGUGCAAGCGUUAAUCGGAAUUACUGGGCGUAAAGCGCGCGUAGGUGGUUUGUUAAGUUGGAUGUGAAAGCCCCGGGCUCAACCUGGGAACUGCAUCCAAAACUGGCAAGCUAGAGUACGGUAGAGGGUGGUGGAAUUUCCUGUGUAGCGGUGAAAUGCGUAGAUAUAGGAAGGAACACCAGUGGCGAAGGCGACCACCUGGACUGAUACUGACACUGAGGUGCGAAAGCGUGGGGAGCAAACAGGAUUAGAUACUCCCGUAGUCCCUGUCUCUUAUAA